rnacentral:rRNA from 1 species
GAUGAACGCUGGCGGCGUGCCUAAUACAUGCAAGUCGAGCGAACGGACGAGAAGCUUGCUUUUCUGAUGUUAGCGGCGGACGGGUGAGUAACACGUGGAUAACCUACCUAUAAGACUGGGAUAACUUCGGGAAACCGGAGCUAAUACCGGAUAAUAUUUUGAACCGCAUGGUUCAAAAGUGAAAGACGGUCUUGCUGUCACUUAUAGAUGGAUCCGCGCUGCAUUAGCUAGUUGGUAAGGUAACGGCUUACCAAGGCAACGAUGCAUAGCCGACCUGAAAGGGUGGUCGGCCACACUGGAACUGAGACACAGUCCAGACUCCUACGGGAGGCAGCAGUAGGGAAUCUUCCGCAAUGGGCGAAAGCCUGAUGGAGCAACGCCGCGUGAGUGAUGAAGGUCUUCGGAUCGUAAAACUCUGUUAUUAGGGAAGAACAUAUGUGUAAGUAACUGUGCACAUCUUGACGGUACCUAAUCAGAAAGCCACGGCUAACUACGUG